UUUUGAUUCGAUUGCAUUUCCGAACACGACGACGAAGAAAGGGCGGAGAUGUUGGGGGAAAGUCAGCCGUUGGCUGCGAGCCAACAAGCCCUCCCCACCACCACACCACUAUAAUAUAACAGUUGAGCGCCAUUUCGUCGUUAACUGGAACAAGUCAGUUGUGAAGUCUAACGGCGGCGAAGAACUCGUGUGUGAAGAUUACCGGAGCAACGAAAAAAGAAGAAAAGCCGACGCCAGCCCUUUCGCCCAGCACCGCCGCUGGUUAAUUAGUGAGAGCAGAAAGGAGAUGGAAAAUGAAUUGCGACGACUGCCAAGACGAUAGUAGUAGUAGCAGCACUGCUGCCGUAUUCUCACUCUGCUAUAGCUCCGAUGGGGGGGCUUACUUAUGGGUUGCAUAAGUAACAAACCCGACCCGAACAGACCACUCAGCUUCUUCCUCUUAGUCUACUAUAGGUUUUGUUGGGGUGAAAAGUACCGUAGGUUAUACGAAUAGUAGUGCGACCAAUAGUCUAGAAAGCAUCGUGCAUCUUUCAAUAGAUUAGACUGGGGGGAGAAAAAGAAGCGAGUUGGUGGGUAGUGGUGGGCAUGUCUUCGCAUCGAAAUCCAAUCAUUUUAAAAAAGCUGUCGAAACAAAAGUGGUUGGUGGAGCAAGUAUAAUUGCGAGUGUCGAAUGACACAAGAACUUUUUGUCGUCGGUCUAUUGUUUUUCCAACUGAUUGUGUUCGUCCACCUCAACACCCGGCGCAUUAAUAAAAGUGACUGGGUAAUAAAUCGAUAAAGUCAUCUAGAAGUAAUCAAGGUGGGAUUCGAUUAUUCAUUAUCUGAUGGUGCACAAAUCACGCAGUAGUAGUUCCCCCUCCAAUAAAUCGCUAUCGAACGACUUUAUCGCCCCUUUUCCAAUCGCAAUAGGAAAAAUUUCGACGGGUAAGAAGAAUGGAGCCAUCAAACAUAGAACAGAGUCUUUCUUUAUCGCGAAUAGUUAUGUAAAUGCUACGAGCUCAGGAACACGCAAUCCUAAUUAACGGGGUAGGCGAUAAACCGUAAUUUAAAAAAAAGACAGCCAAAUAGUUUAAAAUAAAACAUUUGAAAUUAGCAAGUAGCGCGCUUAAUCACGCAAGGGCAUUGUUUGUUAAAAAAGGGUGAGAAUACAGAAUAUGCCGUUUUCAAUUAAGGAAAAACUUAAAUGGCUUACACUAUUUCCUCUUUUUAUGAAAGGAAAGAUAAUGAAAAUAACGUCACGAAUAACAGCAACUUUGUUAAAUAUUUAAUUUUAAUUUCACUAAUUUUCUGUUUGCUUUUCAUAGGUAGAUAAAAGAGCCUUUACGUGACAGUUUAAUCGAUUAUCGUAAGAGUACAGAAUACAGCAUGUUCAAUGGUGGCCAUUUCUUGAUUACUUGAUGGGCCAGAUCUUGAUGAUGUCGAUGAAAUUUUACUGCCGCCGCCGCUGUCAUCAUUAGUGUUGCGUGCCUGGAAUGUGCGGUGUAGCUCUUGAUUUAUACGGGCACUGCGUUCUGGCGCCUCUCUUGUGGUUCGACAACACUCGACUCUACUCUAACACGGAGUUACGAUUAUGGUUGUAUAACUCGAUUUUCACUCUCGAGACAGUCCUCAGCAAGCAAUCUGACAGGCUGUUCAAUUAUCAUCAGUUUUAAACUUGUGAAAGCUAUGCGUACUACACCAAUUGAAUGAAUCGUUGAAAAAUUCGCGCUUUGACAUCAAACGUCAAAUUUGGUUACGAGUCCAGACUAACUAUUUUUUAAAAUAAGCUAUCGCGAUGGAAGAGACAUCUAGCUGCAACAGACGGAAUUACAAGGAGAAAUCUCUUGUAAAAUACCUGCUUCGAAUCCAGUCAAGUAUCUCACCCUACAGAAGCUAAUCAUAAUUUCAAAUCUAAAGCAAUCAUUUUCGUGUUAACCUUGUCUUUCCUUAGAUUACUCGCAUUAGGCGGUCGAGUUUGCAUAAAUUGGCAGCGCUGCCUGUCAGUUUCCACGAAAGUACGUCUGCUGAUUGACGCUCCUCUAAAACGUAAACACGGAAUUCUUUUUGGUCGUUAAUAAGACUUAAGAAAGAAGUAAAUGAGGAUCUCAGCAUGCGCAAAAAAGUUUUGGCAAUUUUAUUAAUUGGUCGUCAAGUUUUCCGUCCACAUCAAGAGUUUUCUUUAGUUUCUUUAUUGACCAAUCGUCGUAACCUGCCAGGUUGUCAACUUUACACGUGGAUGAGAAGGCAAAUAAAGAAUUUAGAAGCAUCCCAAGAUUCCGAAUUUUCGUUCUCUGAAGAGGAAACCAGUGGUGUUGCUGUUUGCUAUCCAAGACGCUAAAAAUCAUGCGAGUCAGCACCCUUCUAGUUUGGGAUCUAAGCAAAUUAUCAACAGAUUUCACAUUAGACAGAAUGAAAACCAUCUAGUUGUCCAUCCAAAGAAGAGGAAAAGGCCAACACCCAAGAGAUGGAUAAUGAAGUUUUUGGUUUGUUAACCCGUUGGCUGCCACCCUUGAACCUUAGUUCCUAAGAAUGGGCCUCUUAUUUUGAGGUUGAUCUUGCACCGUUAUUCCAUGGACGGAAUCUAUUGGUGGAAACUGACGAGAGAUCAGUGACGACCUUCUGUCAUUGCGUGCCACUCUUCCGUCGCCCCAAAGCAUGUGGCAGUAGUGCCUGCUCCAGCUACGUGGCCAGCAUAAUUUGACUACCCAACCGACGGCCUGGUGGGCCAACUCCCCCUCUUCACUGACUCCUACGACCCCUGCUCUCAACACAGCACGGAGUUUUGAUCUUUAUAUUGCUUGGCUCUUUAUGAUGUGUGAUGGCGGUUUCUUGAGGACAACGAUGUUGUUCUAACCUUCAGGUUCCUAAAUUUGCAUGACAGACUUUAUGAAAAGUAAUGUUCUUUCAAGAAAGUCAACAAGGUCCCUAGUUUGCUAACCCAAUGGCUGCUACCCUUGAAUCUCCCUGUUAAGCUCCUUACACAGUCCCUCUUGAUUUGAGGGUAAUCCUUCGCUACUGAUCAUGGACUCUCCAUUGGUGAAACUGAAAACCGACGAGAGAAUAUCCAAGACUGAUAAAUUGUGUAGUUCGAUUAAAUUACAAGUGUAUUUCUGGGCUCCCUUCUUUCCCUUCUG
rnacentral:lncRNA from 1 species